rnacentral:rRNA from 1 species
AGAGUUUGAUCCUGGCUCAGGACGAACGCUGGCGGCGUGCUUAACACAUGCAAGUCGAACGGUAAGGCCCUUCGGGGUACACGAGUGGCGAACGGGUGAGUAACACGUGGGUGAUCUGCCCUGCACUUUGGGAUAAGCCUGGGAAACUGGGUCUAAUACCGAAUACACCUUGCUGGCUGCAUGGCCUGGUGGGGGAAAGCUUUUGCGGUGUGGGAUGGGCCCGCGGCCUAUCAGCUUGUUGGUGGGGUGAUGGCCUACCAAGGCGACGACGGGUAGCCGGCCUGAGAGGGUGUCCGGCCACACUGGGACUGAGAUACGGCCCAGACUCCUACGGGAGGCAGCAGCGGGGAAUAUUGCACAAUGGGCGCAAGCCUGAUGCAGCGACGCCGCGUGGGGGAUGACGGCCUUCGGGUUGUAAACCUCUUUCACCAGGGACGAAGCGUAAGUGACGGUACCUGGAGAAGAAGCACCGGCCAACUACGUGCCAGCAGCCGCGGUA